AAUUGCAGAAUUCAGUGAAUCAUCGAAUCUUUGAACGCACCUUGSSCCUUUUGGUAUUCCAAAAGGCACACCUGUUUGAGUGUCAUGA
rnacentral:rRNA from 1 species